rnacentral:rRNA from 1 species
GACGGGGGGUCCUAGCGUUGUUCGGAAUUACUGGGCGUAAAGCGUGCGCAGGCGGUUUUGUAAGCCAGAUGUGAAAUCCCCGGGCUUAACCUGGGAAUGGCAUUUGGGACUGCAAGGCUUGAGUGCGGCAGAGGAGACUGGAAUUCCUGGUGUAGCAGUGAAAUGCGUAGAUAUCAGGAGGAACACCGAUGGCGAAGGCAGGUCUCUGGGCUGACACUGACGCUCAUGCACGAAAGCGUGGGGAGCAAACAGG